rnacentral:rRNA from 1 species
AAAGGAAUUGACGGGGGCCCGCACAAGCGGUGGAGCAUGUGCUUUAAUUCGAUGCAACGCGAAGAACCUUACCUGGACUUGACAUGGGAGUGAAAGUUUUUAGAGAUAGAAACCUUUCCGCAAGGAACACUCCACACAGGUGCUGCAUGGUUGUCGUCAGCUCGUGUCGUGAGAUGUUGGGUUAAGUCCCGCAACGAGCGCAACCCUCGCCCUUAGUUGCCAUCAGGUCAUGCUGGGAACUCUAAGGGGACCGCCUGGUUUAACCAGGAGGAAGGUGGGGAUGACGUCAAAUCCUCAUGGCCCUUACGUCCAGGGCUAGACACGUGCUACAAUGGCCGGUACAACGGGAAGCUAGACAGUGAUGUUGUGCCAAUCCCUUAAAACCGGUCUCAGUUCGGAUUGAAGUCUGCAAUUCGACUUCAUGAAGCUGGAAUCGCUAGUAAUCGCGGAUCAGAAUGCCGCGGUGAAUACGUUCCCGGGCCUUGUACACACCGCCCGU